rnacentral:lncRNA from 1 species
UCAGAAUAAGCAGCCCCAGUGCCCACAGUCUCUCCUCAUCAGAGACCUGCUCCACACUCAUCACCUUUGAGGCCCUUCUCCAGUAGCUCCUUGUCUUUCUUAUACUGAGAAGUAUGGAGAUUAAUCAGGAACUGUCAGGACAGUGAGGAUCACACCAGCCGUGGGCUGGGCAGGAGGACAUAAGCCUUUGUGCCAUUCUCUGAGAGGAUGUGGCAUAAAGAGGCUGAAGUAAAGGCAGGCAGCUGAGUUGUGAAUGACACAUUGUGAUGAAUUGGGAAAACAAGGGGUUAAUUUCCCUACGCAACCUCUUCUGUGAACAGAACAGUCAAAAAGCCUGGGAACAGCUGCUCUGCAGCCACAGGAAGGCCUUUUGGAGAGAGCUGGGGGCAGAGAAGGGGAAGCAAUGUCAAAGGUACUCAAUGUUUUCCUCUCCUCCAGGGGAGCAUCUAGCUUAUCCCCGAAAUUGUGCAUCAGAGUGAGAACAUGUCUCCGUUUACUGCACAUUCUGGGCAGUCUUGGCCAGAGCAGGUUUGGUGGGACCCCACUCCUUUCUCUAUUUGUGGUAGCAUUGCAUUUGCUUUUGACUGCCUUUCCACAUUAAGCUGAUGUUUUUAUUAAGCUCUCCAAGGUGACAUACAGGUCAUUUUCUUGGGUGGUUACUGUUAAUUCAAAAUUCAACAAUGUGUGUUAGUAAUAUCCUUCCAACACACUUUAUUUUUAAUUUUCCAUCAUGAACUUCCUCUGCCAUUGUGCUGCCUAAUUGCCUUGGUUUGUCUUGACUAACUUAAAUAACUGCUCAGUUAAAUAAUUGUUCCUUGUUAAAAAAACAGUUAUAUGGCAAAUCAUGCCACCAUGCUGAUUAAGGUCUUUUCCAGGACAGCCAUGAAUACAGCAAAGUUCUGUUAGUGCUCUGCUGCUAACCACUGCCAUAUUGAAAACUGUUCUGAACAUAUUCUGUUCUUUUCUGGCUAGCUUGUGAUCAACACACAAUUACAACUCCCACCUCACAACCUCUGAGUUUCCUUGCUAGGCUCUUGUGAGAUAUAUUGUCAAAAGUGCUUUAAAAAUCCCGACAAAUUAUGUCAGUGAAACAAUUCUUGUUCCUCGUCCAGCUGAAUUCUUUCAAAUGUUCUCUGAACACUCUCAAAAUGCACUAAUCUAAUUCAGAAAAAGA